AUGCUAGCAAGAUGGACAGCAUAUCUGGAGAGGUUUAACUAUCUUAUCGUGCAUAAAUCUGGAAUAACUAACAGAGUGGCCGAUGCUUUGAGUCGUCGUGCAUGCCUCUUGACUUCUUUUGAAGCUGAACUUCCGGGCAUGGAUCAAAUAAAGGAGUUGUAUGAGGGUGACGAAGACUUUGGCCAUGUUUGGGUAAAGCACGCAAGGGGCCAACCAUUAGGUGAUGACUAUUUGAUGCAAGAUGGAUAUCUCUUCAAAAAUGAUCGUUUGUGCAUUCCAAGAAGUUCUCUGUGUGACAAGCUGGUUAGAGAGCUCCAUUCAAGUGAUCUUAGUGGCCAUGUUGGACGGGACAAGACUAUCGCUAUCCUGGAAGCUCGCUACUUUUGUCCACAACUAAAGAGAGAUGUUGGAAAGUUCGUUCAACGGUGCCCCGUAUGUUAG
rnacentral:rRNA from 1 species